GGGGGAACCAAUUUAAUUUAAAUAAAAAAAACAGAAAGGAAAAAUAAAAAAAAAUUCAAGAAAAAAUUUUGGGUCUAAUAACGGAUGAAAUCGGGUACACUAAAUUAAAAAAAUGUUGAAAAUUUCAAUCUUUUCAAUCUAUUAGGUAGAAAAGAGGAUUAGAUACCCUCGUAUUUAAUAUAAAAAAGUUAGUAGUAGUAGAGUGGCAUAAACUCGAAACUAAAAAAAAAUGGCGGUGUUUCUUAGACCGUUCGGAGGAACUUGUCUCUUAAUCGAUAAUCCCCGAAGAGAAUUACUAUGGAAUUUAAAAAUUUGUAUACCGUUGUUGUCAGAAAAUUUUAUAAAAAAAAUUGUAAACUUUCUUGAUCCUAAUCAAAGAGGGAUAAUUCAAAUCAAGGUGCAGUUUACGCCAUAGAGAAGAUGAGUUACAAUAACCUAAAAAAGUUAAACGAAUUUUAAUUUGAAACAAAUUUUAGGAAGGUGGAUUCGAAAGUAAUUUUUAUACCUUAGAGUAAAAAAAUGAGUGAGGCUCUGAAACAUGUACACAUCGCCCGUCGCUCUCAAUCAAUAUCUGAG
rnacentral:rRNA from 1 species